ensembl:lncRNA
UUCAACAUCAGAUAGCCACCAUAUCAUCACAUCUAACUAUUGCAGGAGUAUCCCAAGAAACUUACAGGGAUCGGUGUUUGGAAUGGAUGUGGUCGCUGGUUGGGCGGAUCCGUCGGGGAUUGGCGGCGGCGGCGGGUUUACCGGCUUCGCUGCGCUGCCCCCUCCGCCAUGUGGGAUGCCCCCGUCGGUUGGAUGUUUGGACGAGGACACCUUCCGGGAUGGCCGGGGAGCGUCGUUUCACCGGAGUCCAUCGUGCACAUUGAGCUGUGCCGUGGGGGCCUCUGUGGGGUCGGCGCGGGGGAGUGUUGUCGGCAGUCCACAAGUUGAUACGGAUCUUACCGGAGCGGCCGGCUCGCUGGCCUCCGCCAGCGGCUGUCAGUCCCUAUCUACAUCGGCAAGUAAAGUUCGAGCUCCAUCUUCUCUUUCCUUUGGGUUUGGGAGCCGUGUAACGGGUGAGGAGCUAACUGCGAUUAACGUCAACAAUAGAAACAGGAAACUGCCAAAUCCAGCGAUAAUAAAACACCGGAAACUUGGGGUAUUUCAGACUGUUAAUAACUCCAAAUUAAUUUGGGACUCAAGAUUUAAACCGAAAGGCAUUCUAUGUGUACACUUAAAUAUACGAAGUAUCAAGUUAAAAAGUGAUCAAGUCCGCCACCUACUUACUGAUUCUAAUAUUGACUUCUUAUGCCUUUCUGAGACAUGGCUUAAGGAAACUUCACCCUCUGCAAUAAUAUCUAUACCUGGUUAUAAAAUGUUUCGUAAAGACAGACAGGGUUCCAAGGGAGGGAGGGGGGUCAUGAUUUAUUCCAAGGACACUUUUAACUGUAAUGAAAUUCAUGUCACAGAUGAGAAUGAUUUAGAAUUUAUUGGUUUAAAUGUAACUUUGUCACAGCAAAUGUCUUAUAUUCUUGUGGUUAUUUAUAGACCUCCUUCAUCUAAUGCAGAUUUUUAUGAAAAGCUGGACAGUUUAUUAAACCAACUUAAUCCUGCAAAAGAACUUAUAAUGUUAGGUGACCUGAAUGUUAAUUGGGAAGUUAAGCAAAUCAGGAAAAACUUGAAAAAGGUAAUGGAUAAAAUGGAUAUGGCUCAGGUGAUUAAUGGCGCUACGAGAAUUACAAACUCUACAAGCACUCAAAUUGAUUUAGCUUUUACAAACAGGCCAGAAAUGAUUUUGAAAUCAUAUAAUAUGCUUACUGGAUUGUCUUAUCACAAUCUCAUAAUGGUCACCAGAAAAUUAAAUAAAAAGCGUUUUAAACCUUUGCCAGCCACAGAAUUCUUUAGGAUACCAAAGCAGGAACAACAAAACUUCAUAGAUUCAAUCAAUGAUGUAAAUUGGGAUGAAUUACUCUCUGGCAUAAACUUGGAUAAGGAUUGUUCUCUAUUUUCUAAUAAAAUACAGCAAAUUGUUAAUCAAUUUACACGGAAAAUUAGAUUACGAGCUAAAAAAAAUGUCCUUCCAUGGUUAAAUGAAUCUGUUCUGAAAUUGAUGAAAGAACGAGAUCAUUCCUUGAAGCUGGCUGUAAAAUCAGGAUAUAAUAGGCAUCAAUUUAUCUCUUUAAGAAAUAGAGUAGUGAGAGAAGUAAGGAGAUCUAAAGCUGACUUUUUCAUUACUGCUUUGAAUAGUGCAUGUGGAAAUUCUAAAAUAACCUGGCAUUAUAUAAAAAAACUGACAGGUGAGUCCCACAAAAAUAAGACAAAACAAAUGCAAAUUGAAUUAAAUGGAGACAUUUUAACAGAAUCCAAGGUAUUAGCUGAUGCCUUUAACAACUAUUUUAUUAAAUCGGUAGCAGAAAUCUCUAAGAACUUUAUAAUAAAACAAAAAAAAGAACACUUAGUGUCUGCAACACAGUCUUUCUUCAUAGCAAACAUCACUGAGACUAAAGUCAUUGAUAUAAUUAAAACAUUAAAACCAUCUAAGGCCAGGGAUGUAUUUGGUAUGGACACGAACAUGCUUAAAGAUUUAGGAUCGGCUCUGGCUACUCCUAUUGCUUCUAUUAUUAAUCUAUCUAUUUCCAGUGGUCACUUUCCAAAGGCCUGGAAAUCUGCUAUUGUUACGCCAGUUUUUAAGUCUGGUCUAUCUACCUCNNNN